rnacentral:rRNA from 1 species
CCCGCUGAACUUAAGCAUAUCAAUAAGCGGAGGAAAAGAAACUAACAAGGAUUCCCCUAGUAACUGCGAGUGAAGCGGGAAAAGCUCAAAUUUAAAAUCUGGCGGUCUUUCGGCCUGUCCGAGUUGUAAUCUGGAGAAGCGUUUAUCCGCGUUGGACCGUGUACAAGUCUUCUGGAAGGGAGCGUCAUAGAGGGUGAGAAUCCCGUCUUUGACACGGACUGCCAGGGCAUUGUGAUGCGCUCUCGAAGAGUCGAGUUGUUUGGGAAUGCAGCUCAAAAUGGGUGGUAAAUUCCAUCUAAAGCUAAAUAUUGGGGAGAGACCGAUAGCGAACAAGUACCGUGAGGGAAAGAUGAAAAGAACUUUGGAAAGAGAGUUAAACAGUACGUGAAAUUGCUGAAAGGGAAACGCUUGAAGUCAGUCGCGUCGUUCAGGACUCAGCCUUGCUUUUGCUUGGUGUACUUCCUGUUCGAUGGGUCAGCAUCAAUUUUGGUCGGUGGAUAAAGGCUUAGAGAAUGUGGCAUCUUCGGGUGUGUUAUAGCUCUGGGUCGCAUACAUCGGCUGGGAUUGAGGAACUCAGCACGCCGCAAGGCCGGGUACUUGUACUACGUACGUGCUUAGGAUGCUGGCAUAAUGGCUUUAAUCGACCCGUCUUGAAACACGG